rnacentral:rRNA from 1 species
UACAGAGGUCUCAAGCGUUGUUCGGAUUCAUUGGGCGUAAAGGGUGCGUAGGCGGCGCGGUAAGUCGGGUGUGAAAUCUCGGAGCUUAACUCCGAAACUGCAUUCGAUACUGCCGUGCUUGAGGACUGGAGAGGAGACUGGAAUUUACGGUGUAGCGGUGAAAUGCGUAGAUAUCGUAAGGAAGACCAGUGGCGAAGGCGAGUCCCUGGACAACUCCUGACACUGAGGCACGAAAGCUAGGGGAGCAAACAGG